UUGAACGCUGGCGGCAUGCUUUACACAUGCCAGUCGCACGGUAACAGGCCGCAAGGUGCUGACGAGUGGCGAACGGGUGAGUAAUGCAUCGGAACGUGCCCAGUCGUGGGGGAUAACUACUCGAAAGAGUAGCUAAUACCGCAUACGAUCUAUGGAUGAAAGCGGGGGACCGUAAGGCCUCGCGCGAUUGGAGCGGCCGAUGUCAGAUUAGGUAGUUGGUGGGGUAAAGGCUCACCAAGCCAACGAUCUGUAGCUGGUCUGAGAGGACGACCAGCCACACUGGGACUGAGACACGGCCCAGACUCCUACGGGAGGCAGCAGUGGGGAAUUUUGGACAAUGGGCGCAAGCCUGAUCCAGCAAUGCCGCGUGCAGGAAGAAGGCCUUCGGGUUGUAAACCGCUUUUGUACGGAACGAAACGGCUCUGGUUAAUACCCGGGGCUAAUGACGGUACCGUAAGAAUAAGCACCGGCUAACUACGUG
rnacentral:rRNA from 1 species